rnacentral:rRNA from 1 species
ACGGGUGAGUAACACGUGGGAACGUGCCCUUCGGUUCGGAAUAACUCAGGGAAACUUGAGCUAAUACCGGAUACGCCCUUAUGGGGAAAGGUUUACUGCCGAAGGAUCGGCCCGCGUCUGAUUAGCUUGUUGGUGGGGUAACGGCCUACCAAGGCGACGAUCAGUAGCUGGUCUGAGAGGAUGAUCAGCCACACUGGGACUGAGACACGGCCCAGACUCCUACGGGAGGCAGCAGUGGGGAAUAUUGGACAAUGGGCGCAAGCCUGAUCCAGCCAUGCCGCGUGAGUGAUGAAGGCCUUAGGGUUGUAAAGCUCUUUUGUCCGGGACGAUAAUGACGGUACCGGAAGAAUAAGCCCCGGCUAACUUCGUGCCAGCAGCCGCGGUAAUACGAAGGGGGCUAGCGUUGCUCGGAAUCACUGGGCGUAAAGGGCGCGUAGGCGGCCGAUUAAGUCGGGGGUGAAAGCCUGUGGCUCAACCACAGAAUUGCCUUCGAUACUGGUUGGCUUGAGACCGGAAGAGGACAGCGGAACUGCGAGUGUAGAGGUG